rnacentral:rRNA from 1 species
AUGGCGGAGGAACCAUCCGCCAAGCGUCAUCAUGGCGAGCCGUCGGACAAGAUCGGCGACCUCGUCGACGUUCACGUCCCCAGUGAGAAGCGCGAGUACACGAGAACCCUCAUAGGUGUUGAGCUCCACGGCAAAGAGACGCUGGAGAUCGUCUGCACCAACGAACCAGACAAGGCCGACGAGGUGAUGAGCAGGCUCAGGAUGAAGGGCGGCGGCUUGUAUCGAGCUUCAUCGGAGUUGAUGUGGAGUUCACCAGCGAUGAGGAACCUCCACAGAUGGCAGCAGUCCUGCAGUUGUGCGUCGAGGAACUCUGCUUGGCUUCCACAUCGCAGAAGCCACAAAAUGGCCCAAGCGCCUCAAACAGUUCCUGCAGGAGGAGAAAUUGUACACAUUUGUCAGUUUCAGCAUUGGAGGUGA